CAGAGAAAUUCGCCCUCACGGGUGACUCUCCAACCCUAUGUUAUCAUACCUUUGUUGCUUUGGCGAACCGCUUCGGCCACCGGCUUUGAGCUGGUGAGUGUUCGCCAGAGGACCCUAAACUCUUGAAUUUAUUAUUGUCUGAGUACUAUAUAAUAGUUA
rnacentral:misc_RNA from 1 species